GGAACUUUCAAGAAACAGGAAAGAGAGAGAAGCUAUUGCAAAUAUUUGAACGAUGGAAUGGAUUAAUCAUCUGACCGAUCCACCGUAGACGUUGAUAGGACAAUAUGAUUGAUUCGGAAGGUUGCUGUUCGAGUCUGUCGAAUGAUGAAUAGAAUUUAUACUUGAUGUUUUCUUUGCUGACAGUGAAAAAAAAAGAGAGAAGCUGCCGGAAAUAAUUGCAUGACGGAAUGAAUUAAAUACCUGUUUGAUCUGCUGUAGAAGAUGGUAGGAAAGCGUGAUUGAUACCAAAGAUACCGCUCGAAUAAGUUGAACGGAGAAUAGUAUCUAUAUCCGAAGGUCUCGUUGUUGACAGUGGAAACAGGAAAGAGAGAGAAGCUAUUGCAAAAUAUUUGAAGGAUGGAAUGGAGUAAUUAUUUGACUGAUCUGCUGUAAACGAUGAUAGGAAAAUACGAUUGAUUUGGAAGGAUGCUGUUCGAGCUUGUCGAACGAUGAAUAGAAUUUAUACUUGAUACUUUCAUUGUUAACAAUGAAAGCGGAAGAUAGAGGGAAACUAUUGGAAAUAAUUGUACGAUGACUGGUCUGUCGUAGUUGAUGAUAGGAAAACGUGAUUGAUCCUGAAAG